AGGUCUUGCAUGUGGGAAUGAGGGUAUGUGGUGCAGCCAAGGAUGACUUGCCGGCAACAUUGGCAUGUUGAUCACUUCAUUUUUGCUUCAUUAGAUAUGACACCACUACAUAAAUGUGUUAACUAGUUCAUCGGCAAGUCAUCUCUGGCUACAAUACUGCCUCCUUCUCUCAUGCUGGAUAU
rnacentral:pre_miRNA from 1 species